rnacentral:rRNA from 1 species
GUAGGGAAUAUUGGACAAUGGGCGAAAGCCUGAUCCAGCCAUGCCGCGUGAUAGAUGAAGGCCCUCUGGGUUGUAAAUAUCUUUUAUCUGGGAAGAAACUCCUCUAUUCUUAGAGGCCUGACGGUACCAGAGGAAUAAGCACCGGCUAACUCCGUGCCAGCAGCCGCGGUAAUACGGAGGGUGCAAGCGUUAUCCGGAUCCACUGGGUUUAAAGGGUGCGUAGGCGGGUUGAUAAGUCAGUGGUGAAAGCUCCGGGCGUAACUUGGAAACUGCCAUUGAUACUGUCAAUCUUGAAUGUCGUAGAGGUAAGCGGAAUGUUGCAUGUAGCGGUGAAAUGCUUAGAUAUGUUACAGAACACCAAUUGCGAAGGCAGCUUACUAUGCGAUAAUUGACGCUGAGGCACGAAAGCGUGGGGAGCAAACAGGAUUAGAUACCCCUGUAGUCC